AGUGAACGCUGGCGGUAGGCCUAACACAUGCAAGUCGAACGGCAGCACAGUAAGAGCUUGCUCUUACGGGUGGCGAGUGGCGGACGGGUGAGGAAUACAUCGGAAUCUACUUUUUCGUGGGGGAUAACGUAGGGAAACUUACGCUAAUACCGCAUACGACCUACGGGUGAAAGCAGGGGAUCUUCGGACCUUGCGCGAUUGAAUGAGCCGAUGUCGGAUUAGCUAGUUGGCGGGGUAAAGGCCCACCAAGGCGACGAUCCGUAGCUGGUCUGAGAGGAUGAUCAGACACACUGGAGCUGAGACACGGUCCAGACUCCUACGGGAGGCAGCAGUGGGGAAUAUUGGACAAUGGGCGCAAGCCUGAUCCAGCCAUACCGCGUGGGUGAAGAAGGCCUUCGGGUUGUAAAGCCCUUUUGUUGGGAAAGAAAAGCAGCAGGUUAAUACCCCGCUGUUCUGACGGUACCCAAAGAAUAAGCACCGGCUAACUUCGUG
rnacentral:rRNA from 1 species